rnacentral:rRNA from 1 species
UGAAUUGACGGGGGCCCGCACAAGCGGUGGAGCAUGUGGUUAAUUCGAUGCAACGCGAAGAACCUUACCUAGACUUGACAUCCCGGGAAUUCUUAGGAAACUAGAAGUGCCUUUCGGGGAGCCCGGUGACAGGUGCUGCAUGGCUGUCGUCAGCUCGUGUCGUGAGAUGUUGGGUUAAGCCCCGCAACGAGCGCAACCCCUAUUGUUAGUUGCCAUCAUUCAGUUGGGCACUCUAGCGAGACUGCCGGUAAUAAACCGGAGGAAGGUGGGGAUGACGUCAAAUCAUCAUGCCCCUUAUGACCUGGGCUACACACGUGCUACAAUGGUUGGUACAACGAGUUGCGAGUCGGUGACGGCGAGCUAAUCUCUUAAAGCCAAUCUCAGUUCGGAUUGUAGGCUGCAACUCGCCUACAUGAAGUCGGAAUCGCUAGUAAUCGCGGAUCAGCACGCCGCGGUGAAUACGUUCCCGGGCCUU